rnacentral:rRNA from 1 species
UCGAGCGGGAUUGACCCAGCAAUGGGUCAUGAGAGCGGCGAACGGGUGAGUAACGCGUACACGACCUACCUCUAACUGGGGGAUAGCCCUGGGAAACUGGGAUUAAUACCGCAUAUAAUUCUGAUUUUAAAAGUUCAGAAUGAAAGUUCAGGCGGUUAGAGAUGGGUGUGCGUCUGAUUAGCUUGUUGGUAAGGUAACGGCUUACCAAGGCGAUGAUCAGUAGGGGGCGUGAGAGCGUGGUCCCCCACACGGGUACUGAGACACGGACCCGACUCCUACGGGAGGCAGCAGUGGGGAAUUUUUCGCAAUGGGGGAAACCCUGACGAAGCAACGCCGCGUAGAGGAUGAAGGCCUUCGGGUCGUAAACUCCUGUCGACCGGGACGAACGCUAUAGGGCCCAAUACGCCCGAUAGUCGACUGUACCGGUGGAGGAAGCCACGGCUAACUCUGUGCCAGCAGCCGCGGUAAUACAGAGGUGGCAAGCGUUGUUCGGAAUUACUGGGCGUAAAGGGCGCGUAGGCGGUCUGGUCAGUCCCUUGUGAAAUCCCCCGGCUCAACUGGGGAACUGCAAGG